CUUGACCUCGGAUCAGGUAGGGAUACCCGCUGAA
rnacentral:rRNA from 2 species